ACAAUGUUAAUUUAUAUGUUUCUAUUUAUAUUGUAAUUAUCGAUAUGUACAUGUUACAAUGUAAUAUAAAAAUGAACUCUUUUUUUCUACGUUUUGAAUAGUAACUUGAAGUUUUAUGAAAAGGUAUCUAGGAACUAAGAUCCCUCUUACUAACAUCUUUGGAAUUGCUAUCAAAUUGACUCCACUUCACAGUGGGGCUGAUAGUCAAGUCAACAGGCGGCUAGUCUAUUUCAGGAGACCAGGCCAUUUUUGCAUCUGAAUUCUGAGCAAUGCUUGCUUGUUCCUGUCACCAAAGUGCUUUACGAUGUUCACAGCCCUCUUCAGCCAUGCUAUUCCCUCAGAGGAGUGAUCGGCAUUAAACUAGGAGAUAUUUUGUGAAUAACCUCAAAAGUUAUUAAGUGCAUAGAAAUGUACAGUUGGGGGAGGGGGUCUAAGCUUUUAAAGGGCAAUACAGGUCACAUGAAUGAGAUAAGAGUUCACAUAUUACAGCUGAUGCCUUAAUCUUUUUGAAAAGCUGGGAGUAGGCUCAAUGUUUUCAGGUCUUAGAAGACCAGAUACAACUGCAGGUUCUACACCACUUUCAUGGCUAAGGGAUAGUUAGGAAUGGGAAAAUAGAUAAGAGGGUUCCAGAGGGGGGCCAGAUGGGGCUAUAGGAUGUGGGUAGACAUGAGAGAGAGGGCUAUAGGGUGUGGGUGAACAUGAAAGAGAGGGCUAUAGGGUGUGGGUGAACAUGGCAGAAGUUACAUGUACAUAUACUGAAAUGCAAUAAACCCAUCAUCAUGUAUAGUUGCUCUAUUCUAAUAAAAACCUACAGAGAAGAUCAUGACUGAGCAGCAAGAGUUGAAGCUUCUUUGUCAUUUUUAAAGUAGCUGGUUGUUCUCCAGUGUCCCUCCCCCACUGGACUCCCCACAUCCCCAGGUUUGCAAUGGCGACUUGUAGUUUAGCGUCUCUCUACAUUUUGCUACCUCCAAUGUUACAACACUUUGAAAAAUAACCAUCCAUCCUCUGUUUCAUGAGAUCUAGCCUUGGCUAGCCUUCACAAGCGUUGGUAGCUAUACACAAGGUUCCUGAUGCUGGCACAGAGAGUGUUCUGUGCUCUGCCCCUGGUCAGGAUUAUGAUUUUUAAAAAAUGGGAUCUUGGGCUUUACACUACAUUUAAUCCAUAUGGUGUGAGAACAUGCAGAAUUUUUAUUAAUUUCCUUUAAAGUUACUUAUUUUAUUCUCCAUUGCUUCCACACUUGGGUGCCCUCCAGACAGGCUGUCUCAUAAAACUAUUAAAACAUCUGGGGAGAGCAAGAGCCUCCCAUGAUUCCCAAAAGGAGCAACCAAACAGACCGAGAGGAAGAUGGUGAUGCUCUGAGACCAAGGGGUUCCCUGUAGCAUGCACAACCUGCUGAUACUGGAGAUUAAGAAUCAACUGUCCUCUAGAGUCACAGUGCCUGGAGUGCUUACAGAAAGGGGGUGGGGGCAGGUGGCUGUGGGGCGCGCACUGGGCCCUGCCAACCUGUAAAGCUAAGUCUCUGAUUUUAUUUCCUUUGGACUUCAUUGCAAUCUCUCUCAUGCUCUUUUUCAUUCCAAGAUUCAAUCCCAAGACAGAAUUAUGGUACUUCACCAGCUGUUAUGUCAGGUAGGAAAAUCUCAUUCCUUUCAGACCUAAUUGGACGGGAGAGAUGGAACUUGCCUGGUUUUCUCCAAAACUCUCCAAAGCAGCGAUUCUCAAUAAUGGUGGGCACGAGAAGCUGGCAUUUCGUUUUGGCAAGGGGAGGGGUGUGUGGUUACAAGUCUGUUUCCUAGGACAAUCUGGCUUUAUGUCUAGAAAAUAAAUACACUGUCUUUAAAAUAAAAGUAAGAUCUCUGAGAAUGCUUUGCCUAUAAAAGAUAUGCAGAAAGUUUAGUCAAUGUUCUGUAUAUCAGUGGGUCUCACAGUUUGACAAGGUCAUCAGAAUUUCUGACAAGCGGGAGAAAGAUUUGACAUUUGUCAAAAAAAGAUCACAUAUUAAUAAAAUGAAAGAUUGAGAAACGCUGCUUUAGAGACCAGAAUUCCUCAGAAGUCAGAGUUUUCCCUUGUGCUUGCUUGGCUCCUAGGACAGGACCUGAUAUGUGUAUUCAAAAAAAAAAAAUUUGUUGAAUGAAUCAAAACUUCAAUUCUUUUCUAAGACAUUGUAUUUGGGAUAUCAAAAGUGACACUUCUGAUAUUCCAUUUUCGCAGCAAGGUAGCAGAAGUUGCUUUGAGGAUACAGGAGAGUCUUCAGCAUUCAAUUGGCAACAUUUAAUUUGAUUUGUAAAUGUUAAUGGUGCAAUUUGGAGCUGAGCGUAUGUGCAUAAAGAAGUUGGUGCUUUUUUUAAAAAAAACCUUUUGGAAUACAUAGAUACUUCGCUUGCAUCUUAACUUUCACUUUUGCUUUGUUGAAAGAUGAAAAUGAACACAACC
rnacentral:lncRNA from 1 species